rnacentral:lncRNA from 10 species
CUAGGUUUGAAAACCACUGGGUUAGAUAAAGUCUGCAAGAUGAUCAGCUAAUUUUCUGUGACCAGUUGUUUCUCAUCAUCUGAAACCCUGCAUGGGACAGUGUUUUCAGAGGGUGGCAGGCCAUCACCGUCCCUCCGUGUAACCUUAGGAAAAGCCAGCGUACGUGAGAUGGGUCUCUGGUCCAAAACCACACCUGGCCUCGCAUCCUUCUAAUGAUAAUCCCCACAGAGUUCCAGGUGUUCAGCCCAGUGACUGAUUACGAGCCCUGCCGAGUUCAGAGGGACAAGAUGGAGGCUAUAUAUAAAUCCGACAAAGUUUCAAAAGUGCAAAGUGCAAAGGCUUGAGAACCAGGACCUCUGAUGUUUGAGAGCAAGAGAAAACGGAUGACCCAGCUCAAAGAGUGUGAGCCAAUCCAUCACCUUCGUCUGCCUUUUUGUUCUAUUUGGGCCUUCACUGGAUGGGAUGGUGCCCACCCCAUGGUUCUGAGGACAGCCUUGAUGCCGGCGCUGGGCAAAAAUAAAGGGCUCCCACUUCCACUCUCAGCUCCCAGAGGGAUGUCCUUGGCCGUAUCGCCAGGACAUCUGCCCAGGAAAGGAACAGGGGAGUAUAAGAAGAUAUCAGCUGCAAAGACCAUCCUUCAUUGUAAGAACGAUGCUGGAGGAGAGGACGUGGAGGGAUAGGGGGCUUGUUCUCUCCCCUGUUCCACUCCACCAAACUUCCCAGAGAAAAACAAUUUUUUUUUUCUUUUUUGAGACAAGGUCUUGCUCUGACACAGAGGCUGGAGUGCAGUGGUGCAAUCACGGGCUCACUGCACCCCUGAACUCCUGGGCUCAAAUGAUCCUCCUGCCCCAGCCUCCUGAGUAGCUGGAACUACAGGCAUGUGCCACCAUGCCCUGCUAAUUUAUUUUUAUUUUUGUAGAGAUGGAAUCUCCCUAUAUUGCCCAGGCUAGUGUUGAACUCCUGGGCUAAAGUGACCCUCUUGCCUCAGCCUCCCAAAAUGCUGGGAUUACAGAUGUGAGCCACUGACCCUGGCAGAAAAAGAUGUUUUAAUUGCCAGAAACAUAUGUGGAAAUACUGAAAGAACAAGAAAUUAGCUGCCUAAAUUUUGUUACCUUUUUUUUUUUUUUUUUUGAGAUGGAGUCUCGCUCUGUCGCCCAGGCUGGAGUGCAGUGGCACAAUCUCGGCUCACUGCAAGCUCCGCCUCCUGGGUUCACGCCAUUCUCCCGCUUCAGCCUCCCAAGUAGCUGGGACUGUGGGUGCCCGCCACCACUCCCGGCUAAUUUUGUUUUUGUAUUUUUAGUAGAGACAGGGUUUCACCAUGUUAGCCAGGAUGGUCUCAAUCUUCUGACCUCGUGAUCCGGCCGCCUCAGCCUUCCAAAGUGCUAGGAAUACAGGUGUAAGCCACCACACUUGGCCAGUAACGAUAAUAAUUCUUUUUUUUUUUGACACGGGAUCUCACUCUGUUGCCCAGGUUGGAAUGCAGUUGUGCGAUCUUGGCUCACUGCAACCUCUGCCUCCUAGGUUCAAGUGAUUCUCCUGCCUCAGCCUCCUAAGUAGCUGGGAGUACAGGCAUGCACCACCACACCUGGCUAAGUUUUGUACUUUUAGUAGAAACAGAGUUUUGCCAGGUUGCCAAGGCUGGCCUUGAACUCCUUGGCUCAGGGGUUCUGCCCACCUCAGCCUCCCAAAGUGCUGGGAUUACAGGCGUGAGCCACUGCAACUGGCCACCUUUUUAUAAUUCUUAUGACACUGUAAAUAAUCUCAAAAGUUCCCAAUUAGAUAGAAAAUAAAAGUAAAGAAAAAUGGGCCAGGUACAGUGACUCACAUCUGUAAUACCAGCGCUUUGGGAGGGCGAGGCAGGAGGUUUGCUUGAGGCCAGGAGUUCAAGACAAGUCUGGGCAACAUAGUGAGACCCCAUCUCUACAAAAAAUUUAAAAAUUAGCUGGACAUGGUGAUGCACACCUGUAAUUCUAGCUACCUGGGACUGAAGCAGGAGGAUUGCUUGAGUCUAGGAGUUUGAGGUUGCAGUGAGCUAUGACUGUGCCACUGUACUCUAGGCUGGGUGACAGAAUGAGACCUUAUCUCAAAAAAAAAAUUAUAAGAGAAAAAUGAAGAACAUUUUUUAUGUAAUUGACUAUAGUACAGAAUAGAAUUGGAAUUUAAAGUUGCUAUUGUAGUUAUUUUAUUUUAUUAUUUUGGAGACUGGGUCUUACUAUGUUUCCCAAGCUGGUCAGAAACUCCUGGUCUUAAGUAAUCCUCCCACCUCAGCCUCCCAAAGCCCUGGGAUUACACCAGGUGAACCCUCCUGCCCGGCUCUGUAAUUUUAUAUUACUUAUUCUUAAUAUAUUUUCUUUAAAAAAUAUUUGAAAAUAAUUGUUAUUUAAAUUACCUAACCUUGUAUAUUAAUUAGUUCCUGAUAUUUCUUAAAUAAAGGAUUCCUG